rnacentral:tRNA from 1 species
GCCUGGGUGGCUCAGUUGGUAAAGCGCCUGACUUUGACUCAGGUCAUGAUCUCAUGGUUUAUGAGCUCAAGCC